AUUGAACGCUAGCGGGAUGCUUUACACAUGCAAGUCGAACGGAGUGGCGGACGGGUGAGUAAUAGAUCGGAACGUGCCCAGUAGCGGGGGAUAACUACUCGAAAGAGUGGCUAAAACCGCCUACUAUUGGAAAGGCCGAUAUCGGAUUAGCUAGUUGGGGGGGUAAAGGCUCACCAGGGCAACGAUCCGUAGCCGGUUUGAGAGGACGACCCGCCACACUGGAACUGAGCCACGGCCCAGACUCCUACGGGAGGCAGCAUUGGGGAAUUUUGGACAAUGGUGGAAGCCCUGCUCCGGCCAUCCCGCGUGUAUGAUGCGGGCCUUCGGGUUGUAAGGUACUUUUGGCGGAGAAGCGGUAUCUGCAGAAUAAGCACCGGCUAACUACGUGCCAGCAGCCGCGGUAAUUC
rnacentral:rRNA from 1 species